GUCAGCAGCGAUAGCACGUUGAAUACACCAUUUCCCGAUGGACCACUAAGGUUAAGCGUUCGUUGUGCGUGGUUGGUAUUCGGACGGGUGACCAUUUGGACAAUCGUGUGGUAUUGGCU
rfam:Asian citrus Psyllid, Diaphorina citri - Florida Strain, whole genome shotgun sequence.